GCCACCCUCUUCUCUCACACUCACUCGGGCUGUCGGGCAUCAAGAAGCCCUUUUCUGAAGACGAGAGAAUCCCUAAAAAAGCCCUAUUUUCCUCUGCCACUCUCAAUCCUCGCAGGUAUGGAUUCACCAAUCUUCUUGUGCUACUGCUUACAACCCCAGCAAUCAUCAGCGGUAAAAAUGCCAUAUAAUUUCGCCUUCUUCUGUCUCGCUGAAAAUGGAGAUGAAAAUCAAGCACAACCCAUUAGAGUGAGAGAGAGAGAGAAAUGUUAUUAAAUGAUUUUGUUCUGAUAGAAUCUUAUUUAGGAAAAGGCUGCUCUCUAGUUUUAUUAGAAAAUGAAAAAUUAUGCAGUACAAGAGUUCAACAUGGAUUUCAUUUUAAAUGCAUUAUGAAUAGAAUAAAUGAAUAUAGAAUAAUAUAGCAUGAGUAAUCAUAUCAGUC